rnacentral:tRNA from 1 species
GUGGUUAUAGCUCAGUUGGUUAGAGCGCUGGAUUGUGGUUCCAGAGGUCGCCGGUUCAAAUCCGGUUAGCCACC